rnacentral:rRNA from 1 species
UAGAGUUUGAUCCUGGCUCAGGAUGAACGCUAGCUACAGGCUUAACACAUGCAAGUCGAGGGGAAACGAUGUUGGAAGCUUGCUUCCGAUAGGCGUCGACCGGCGCACGGGUGAGUAACGCGUAUCCAACCUGCCCACCACUUGGGGAUAACCUUGCGAAAGUAAGACUAAUACCCAAUGAUAUCUCUAGAAGACAUCUGAAAGGGAUUAAAGAUUUAUCGGUGAUGGAUGGGGAUGCGUCUGAUUAGCUUGUUGGCGGGGUAACGGCCCACCAAGGCGACGAUCAGUAGGGGUUCUGAGAGGAAGGUCCCCCACAUUGGAACUGAGACACGGUCCAAACUCCUACGGGAGGCAGCAGUGAGGAAUAUUGGUCAAUGGGCGAGAGCCUGAACCAGCCAAGUAGCGUGCAGGAUGACGGCACUAUGGGUUGUAAACUGCUUUUAUAAGGGAAUAAAGUGAGUCUCGUGUGACUUUUUGCAUGUACCUUAUGAAUAAGGACCGGCUAAUUCCGUGCCAGCAGCCGCGGUAAUACGGAAGGUCCGGGCGUUAUCCGGAUUUAUUGGGUUUAAAGGGAGCGUGGGCCGGAGAUUAAGCGUGUUGUGAAAUGUAGAUGCUCAACGUCUGCACUGCAGCGCGAACUGGUUUCCUUGAGUACACACAAAGUGGGCGGAAUUCGUGGUGUAGCGGUGAAAUGCUUAGAUAUCACGAAGAACUCCGAUUGCGAAGGCAGCUCACUGGAGCGCAACUGACGCUGAAGCUCGAAAGUGCGGGUAUCGAACAGGAUUAGAUACCCUGGUAGUCCGCACGGUAAACGAUGGAUGCCCGCUGUUGGUCUGAAUAGGUCAGCGGCCAAGCGAAAGCAUUAAGCAUCCCACCUGGGGAGUACGCCGGCAACGGUGAAACUCAAAGGAAUUGACGGGGGCCCGCACAAGCGGAGGAACAUGUGGUUUAAUUCGAAGCAACGCGAAGAACCUUACCAGGCCUUGACAUCCCGGUGACCGUCCCGUAAUGGGGACCUCUCUUCGGAGCACCGGUGACAGGUGGUGCAUGGUUGUCGUCAGCUCGUGUCGUGAGAUGUUGGGUUAAGUCCCGCAACGAGCGCAACCCCUAUGUUCAGUAGCCAGCAGGUAAAGCUGGGCACUCUGGACAGACUGCCGGGGAUAACCCGGAGGAAGGCGGGGAUGACGUCAAAUCAUCAUGCCCCUUACGGCCUGGGCUACACACGUGCUACAAUGGCGUAAACAAAGGGAAGCGAGAGGGUGACCUGGAGCGAAUCCCAAAAAUAACGUCCCAGUUCGGACUGUAGUCUGCAACCCGACUACACGAAGCUGGAAUCGCUAGUAAUCGCGAAUCAGCAUGUCGCGGUGAAUACGUUCCCGGGUCUUGCACACACCGCCCGUCAAG